GGUUCUCCUCCUAUCUCUCUGACCAUUCGCAGACGGUGUUGGCAGGGGGGCAGAGGUCGACCCCAAGGCGCCUCACUUGUGGGGUGCCUCAGGGGUCUGUCCUCUCGCCUCUCUUGUUCAACAUCUAUAUGAAGCCGCUGGGUGAGGUUAUCCGUGGUUUCGGGGUGGACUAUCAUCUGUACGCUGAUGACACCCAGCUGUACAUUUCCACCCCGAACCACCCCAAUGAAGCCGUUGAGGUGAUGGGCCGGUGUCUUGAGGCCGUACGGGUCUGGAUGGGGAGGAACAGGCUCCGACUCAACCCUUCCAAGACAGAGUGGCUGUGGGUGCCGGCGUCCCGGUACAGUCAGCUUACACCAUCGCUGACUGUUGGGGGAGGAAGUACUGACUCCCAGGGAGGGAGUGUGCAACUUAGGCGUUCUCCUGGAUGACCGGCUGUCCUUAGAGGAUCAUUUGACAGCCGUCGCCAGGGGAGCUUUUUAUCAGGUCCUCCUGAUUCGCCAGUUGCGCCCCUUCCUUGACCGGGACGCCUUACGCACGGUCACUCACGCCCUCGUCACUUCCCGCCUGGACUAUUGCAAUGCUCUCUACAUGGGGCUCCCCUUGAAGAGCACCCGGAGGCUCCAGUUAGUCCAGAAUGUGGCCGCGCGGGUGAUAGAGGGAGCACCGCGUUGCUCCCAUAUAACACCUAUCCUGCGCGGCCUGCACUGGCUACCGGUAGUCUUCCGGGUGCAAUUCAAGGUUUUGGUUACCAUCUUUAAAGCGCUCCAUGGCUUAGGACCGGGAUACCUUCGAGACCGCCUUCUGCCACCGAUUGUCUCCCAAUGACCGGUGCGCUCCCACAGAGUGGCCCUCCUCAGGGUGCCGUCGACCAAACAAUGUAGGUUGGCGACCCCCAGGGGGAGGGCCUUCUCUGUGGCGGCACCAGCCCUGUGGAAUGAGCUUCCUCCAGGAUUACGACAACUCCCUGACCUCCGGACCAUCAGACGUGAACUGAAGACUCUAUUAUUUCAGCGUGCGGGACUAGCCUAAGAACAAUGUUUUAACCAAAUUUUAAUGGGGGUUUUAUUGAUUCUUACUGUUUUAGUGAUCAGGCUUUGAUAAUAUUUAGUUUUAAUCUGGGUUUUAAAUGUUUAUUUAUUACAUUGUUUUAUAUUGUUUUAAUAUGCCUGUGAACCGCCCUGAGUCCUACGGGAGAUGGUGCAGUAUAUAAGUUUGAUAAAUAAAUAAAAUAAAUAAUGACAGCGUCGACCACCAGCCGACUUACGGGACCUUCAGAGAGGCUGACCUCCCUACCAGGUGACCCUCCCAUGGCAUGACCAGUCAUAUGAGCAAUAAGACCAAUAAAAGCGGAAGGGAACUGAAACAAAACACUUCAACGGAAGUUCUGCUGAAGAUGUUACCUAGCCUGGUGACGAAAUGUUCAGAAACUAAACAAAGCUUGGAGAAAAAACUGCCGCCACCACUUCCUCUCUUGUCCUUUCAAGACACUUUCAGCUUUCCUCUUUAUGGAUUGGGAUCUUUUCUCCUUGUUCCACUUUUACUCUGGUUCCCUCCUAUCGCCGCCAUAAAGAGAGGCACCUGCAAGCUAACAUUUCUGUCUUUCUUCUAGACUCAGCCUCUCCUCCCUCCAUCUCUUUCUCUCUAGCAAGGGCCUGCAUUAAAUUUACUAGAUAAAUAAAAUAAAGGCUGGACUCCUGAUGGAAGACAGCAGGUGAGAUUACUGAUAAAAACCAGAAUGGAAAGGGUUCUUGGGAGCUGCCCAACAGAUAAGCAAUAACAAUAAGUAAACUAUUGCUUCUAGGAGACUUUAUAGAUCUCCUCAAGAGGAGGAAUCACCUUUUCAUAACAAUAGGAGUUCUAGGAAAAGGCAUUUACUAUUGUACACGUAAAAUAUAGAUGUUAUUCCAAUAAAGUCUGGCCCAAUUAUUACAAUCCCCUUUUCACCUGAAUAGGAAGCAAGCCUCUCCCCACCCCUCCAAGUUUAACAGACCAAAAUAAUUUCUUUACAGCUUCUGUUCUGCUAUUUCCAGGGAAUUCAGGCUCCCAGAAUCAUCAGGGUCUCUGAAAUCUUACAGAAUUUCCAUGCACAAGGAUGCAUUCAGUUCCCAUGUCCACAUUAUUAUUAUUAUAUUGCAUAUUUCUGGGUCCCCCCCAAUAAAUGGUUAAUUCAAAUUAACAGAACAGUACUAUACGACCUCUGACCCCCUGGCUAAUUAAUUAUCUUUCUAGGUGGACUUCCCACAAUUUUUUGCCAAAUUGUGUUGUUUGGCUUGUCAUUUUUUUUCUUUGCAUGUGGCUCUAGUUAACAAGUCCUGCCAUGUUUACAAACAAUUUACUUUUAUAGGUUCUCAGUAAUUGAUUUAACUCAGAGAACCUGUCAGAAGUAGAAGCAAUGUCGUUUAUUCCUACUUUCUUUCAAAAACGAGAGGCUGUGGGUUUUCCCCUAAUAUUUUUUUUUCCUUUCUGUUUUUGAGGCAGCCUUGACUCUUGGCAUCGUUGGCAACUUCUGGGGAAGAGCCUUGCAGCACCAACUUCCUUGGGCUGAGAGACCCAAUUGAAUGCCACAAAAAAAGGCAAAACUGGAACUCCUAAUUUUUAUCCUGGUACCUUUAAUCACAUCAACACCAAACCGGCUGUCUAUAAAAAUUUGUUAGCCCUUCCUUUCCUUGGCUUUAAAAGAAAGGAAGGAAAAAAGCACAGACAUUUGACAACAGCCUGGUACCCCUUUUGCAAUGGCAAGGAGUUCCAAAUGCACACAUUGAAUUAGAUCUUAAAGCCUCACAAAGGGUUUAUCAAACUUCAUCCCUUUUAUCUAAAGUGCCCCUCAAAUGCAGUACUAAAAACUAGAAUAAUCAACCAAUUUUUUUACACUGUAUAAAAUUCCCAGGCACUACCUGAUCCCCACUAGGAAAUUAAAGUGCCCUCUAAUCCCUAGAUGUUCCUAACUUGUCAAGUCAAGCCACAACUGAACUCCAGGGUAACGUGGAUAGCAGGAUCUAACUUGCAUCAGUCAUGGAUAGCCAACACAGGAUGUCUCCACCUGCCUUGUCCGGAAGAAUCAGCUGAUCUUUAAAAGCAGCCACUUCUUCAGUUGGCUGCUGUUCCUUUCUCUGAAUAGCUUCUAAUUGCUCCCAAACAUUAUGAAGAUCAAUGAAAAUAAACCAUCCUAAUGCAGGUGUUUUAAGCAUUGCGAGUUGGAAAGUGGGGGCUGCUCACUGAGAUGUAUCACUGGAAUUCUGUCGUUUGUCAGUUGAGGAGUGGGAGUUGGAAUAUCCAAUGACAGUUGAAAACGGACGUUUUGGAGGAGAAAGGAAGAGAUGCUGGUCAUUUGGCAUUGGAGACGCAAACUUAGUCACUGACAUGAUCGAUAAUCUAAGUUAUUUGCAAAUCAGAGGUGCUGCAGAUCCUUUGUCUACAAAGAAUCCUAUGUUAAUCUACAAGAGCAAUAAAUCACUUAACGAGCAACUAGCAAGUGAAAAAGAAUCAAUAAUUACAAAAUGGUUAGCUUGGAUUAAUAGGGCCCAGUUAGGUGGUUAUUUCCUGGGUAUUUUAGGAUCCA